CCCUAAGAGGAAAAAACAUUUUUGAAAGAUACGGAGAAAAUUAGCAUGGCCCCUGCUUAAGAAUAAUAUGCAGAUUCAUGAGGCAUUCUGUAUUUUU
rnacentral:snRNA from 1 species